UCGUUGGUUCCACCAAAGGUGUAACCUCCAAACCCUAAUCCGGCUCCUCCCUUGUGACCGUCGCUGCUGCCGGCGGCGUUUUUGCUAUCCAUGGCGACGGUUGCUCGUCCCCCUUCACCAUCGCUCUUCUUCUUAUGACCAUCUCCCCACCAAUCAGGGUAUCCUACAAUUUUAAAACACUGAUCUUUCGUGUGUCUCAUCAUACCGCAGUGGUCACACUUGAGAUUACUUUUAUCUUGUCGGUUCGGCUGUGCAAACUUCUUCGCUGAUUCCGACCGCCGCUGGCUUUUCGUGUGAAACCCUAGACCUUGGGGUUCUCCUGGCUAGACAGAUAAUCCGGCUGCCACUCCAUGCUGUGAUGUUGGUUCUCCAUUGUUAGUGCCAAGGAUACUUUGGUGGGCAGUUUCUUUUCUGACGGCAGCAUAGGCUCCUUCGACGGAAGGAAGGGGAUCCCAUCUGAGGAUUUCUUGCUUUAUUGGAUCGUAUUCGAUCAAGGGCGUUAAGAAACUGAAAUAGUUUCUGUUCAGCACUAAUUUUGUUGUAGGUGGUGAUAUCGACGGCACAUGUCAUGGGAAAUAGAUCAACUGAUUCAAGGUUGGGAUUACCAAGAUAUUCAACUGCAUAAACCACCCUGCUACUGUAAGAAGGAAAUCACCAUCUUUUGUGAGUUAACAUUUAUUUAACUAAAACCAAAACUUGAUAUAUGCUGGUAUUUUGGCAAGACUCUUUUCCAGUACUUGUAAUAGAAAUAAAAGUUGCUGAGAUAUAAUGGCGAUGAUAGUGCGAUACAACCAAAACAACAUCAGGCCACACCAUCUUUCUGGUGCUUGAGGGGCUUUUCAAGGUCCACCCACCUACAUCGAAGUCCAGGAGCAUGGAUGAAGUACUAUUUGAAGAUUGAAGGGCUUAGGAAGGGCGGUGUGGUGACGGUGUUCGAUGCUGAACUGGUGGUUCAGCCAUUGAAGAAUUCGAAGGAGUUGUUAGGGUUCAAAUUGGCUAAUGUGAAUAAGCAGAGGUCAAUCAAAUCUCAAGCUGAUUUACAUCAGAAUCACGCGUAUACGUUGAUAAAGCAAGAGAUCUAAACCGCCAGUGAUAUUGUUUGAUCAUAUGACAUGAGAACUAGCCACCGGUUACAAGUUUACUCACCACCACGACAACACUAAAGGUGGCCACCAGCCCAUGGAUGCAAAUUUGCAGCACUUUUAAGUCCAAAUGCAGCCGGUGAGUAUAUGGACUUGAAGAAAACAUUUUAGAAAUACUUCUUAGUUUGUGUAUAGUGGUUUCCCUCUGUGUAACUUUUGUAGAUAGGUUUUGAUUA